GUGACCUUGGGUUUUUAUGACUAGUUUUGUAUUUCAAUAGUACCACUAAGAGAUCGUUUUUUCUUUGGGUCUUUCUCAGCAAAAUCCAAUUCAACUUUAUCACCACCACCCGUUCUUGCUGCUGUGAGAGAAAUACAGACGAAACUCUAAUUUCUUCUCACAUUUUCAUGUCCAUCUUGCCCAUACAAUCUAAUAGUUUUGUAUCAUCAUCAUCUGAUAACCUUCGCAGAAACCCUAAUUACCCAAACCAUGUAUGGUCUCUUUCACUCAUCACCACAAGAACAAUUUCAUGGGGGUUUAUCUCCAAUCACUCAAUUUCUGGUAAGAAAUCUUCCGAGUUAUUGAUUAGGAGAAGAUUUGUCUAAUAGUCUAUGUAGAUUGAAGAUUUGUCUAUUAGUCUCUGCAUACGAAAAAGGAGAAGAUUUGGGUUUCUUUUUAAUAGGUUCUUCCCUUGUUUUGGGUAGUUGAAGUAGUAUUAUUGAAAGUUUAAUAGUCUAUGUAGAUUGAAGAACAGCGAUUGCUGCUGGUGCUUUGAGAGGUCGAUGGAUGAAAUUGGCUUUGUUGGAAGAAGGGUCUGAUGGUGAAGAACAGUCUGGGAAGAACAAGAAUCUGUCGAUGGGUUUUAUGCAGAAGACAAUUUUGAGAAGUGAUGCAGAAGUGUUGAAUUCGCUCAAUUUGUUACGGAUUUGAUUUGGGGAUCUGAGGUUGUUAAUUUGAGCAUCAAAUCUCAUUUUUAGGGUAAGAAAUUUGUGGGUUUAUAGAUCUGAGGUUGUUUGAAUUUGAGUUGAAAUUCAAAUAUAGAUUUGUAAUUGGGUAUUGCAAUGGAUGAAUUCCUUGAGUUGUCCAAAAUGCUAUAUUGAUUGAGGAUGAAAAACAAUUGACUCCACCAUCGUCAACUGAGUAAAAAAUGUUGUUGAUGAUAAAAUCUUGUUUUGACGGUGGUUCCGGAAAUGGGUAUGGAGGUGGGGGAAGAGGUUAUAAUAGUAUAUUCAUCUUUUAAUUUCAUUUUAUUUUACUUUUAA